rnacentral:lncRNA from 1 species
AUUUUCUUGUUUUUUGCAACCGCGGGACCGCGUUUCUGCGCUUCAGAUUGCGUUUUUCCGACUCCUUUGUUUGAUAUCGUGUCGUAUCGUCGUAUUUAUGUAGUUAUUAGGAACGGCAAGGCCUACGUUGUUGCGUCCUUUACCUGAAUAUCGUGACCGAAUCGAGUGUCGGCGAUUUGAAUCGUGUCUUGCGAACCAUCGUCGAACGAAAGGUGAUGGCUGGUCGUGGUUCAUCAGCGUUUGUUUUGAAACUGAUGGGUACCACAAGGCAUGAAGGAGGUGACUUGCAGCAGCAAGGCACUGCAAGCCUUCGCAGCAACUGGCUAGCCAGUGCUGCUCUGUUCUGAACUGCACUGCGUGUCAUGCGGAGGUUUUGUGCAAGCUCUCUGGGCGGCGACGCUAGCCACGAUUGGCUUCGUGGAUGCACAGAAAUACUCAAGGCGCUUGACGUCUGUGGCUCAUCUGUAUUGUUUUUCCCGGUACCACGGCAUGAAGGAGCUGGCCUCCCUCCCUUCCAUCAGCUGCGAGAUACUACAAGCACUGGGCUACAGCUGCAGCUAGCCCAUGGGUACCGUUCUGCGUCCUGUACUGCAUCUAGUUCGAAAGGCAGGUACCGGGGACCAUGACAUCAGUGAGCUGGCUUUCACCUUGUCCAAGGCAGCAGCGGAACACUACGGGCGGGACCCUGGAUCACUGCACCAUGGAUGCCGUCCUGUACCCUGCACGGCACUGCGUGUGGCUUAAGUGGCCAAGCAGAGGGUCAUUGCAUGACUUUUAUGAGGCGCCGCUAGCCAUUGUUUCAAACCACCCUGAAUCGUGGAUCAAGCCUUGCAAGAUGGAAGUUCUCUUUAGGCCCAGCGCCUCUUGAUGGAUCAAGUCUUGUACCCCAUUCCCUCGUGUCUUUCAUAUAAGUAAAUUGUUGGUAUUUC